AUGAAGGUGAUCGACAACCUCCGCGACGCCGUCGCCAAGGUCGGCGAGAUCAGGUGCCCCGCCCGACCCAUCCCCCUUCCCUCCCCCGGAUCUAGCGGCCACGAGAACGAGAAGGCCGGGUUCAUCAUCCUCGUCUCGCGCUACCUCAGCGGCGAGGCGGAGCAGAUCGAGUGGAGCAAGAUCCAGACCCCCACCGAUGAGUUGGUGGUUCCCUACGACACCCUCGUGCCCCCUCCCGAAGAUCUCGACGCCAUGAAGGUGCUGCUCGACAAGCUCGUGGUGCUCAAGCUCAAUGGAGGCCUCGGCACCACCAUGGGCUGCACCGGCCCCAAGUUUUUUCUGCUAGUACUUCUUGUGUUCUCUUCAUCAACCACUGUCUACGGGUGGCCCGAGGAAGUGCCCUGCACCGAGGAGUUCCCACUCUCCGCACCAAUCCUUACAGCCGAACAAAGGGAUGCUAGUUACAAAUUCCUGCUGUUAUCAUCACAUGGGUUCUGUUCUGUUGGAAUACAUGAAUGGAUGCUUGUUUACAUGGCAGGCAGCUUGGUUCAGUAG
rnacentral:rRNA from 1 species